rnacentral:lncRNA from 1 species
GUUUUUCUCUCAUCCAAUCAGAACAUGUAGUCCCAGAACUCAUUUGCAUAACUCCGCAUAUAAAGUAUGCUGAGGUGGGGGAGUCAGACCAUCCCGGGUUCUUUCCUGUUUGCCUACACAGCUCUUCUGUGCCCAACUUAAAGGCAGAGGAGAAGGGGAAGGAAGACACCUGCCAAAUGCUGGAGGCUGCAGCCUGCGGCACCGCGGCUCGCCUCACUGUGGGUGGUGGCCGAGAUGGCGACUGCAGUGCGACCGGAGUGAUGCUGUCCUCACAGUAUAUUCAAGGCAUCUGAUGGCAUUGAUGAGCAACUGAGGAAUCAUUUAAUUAAUCACCAAGUUCUUCAUCCUUACUUAAAAAUGUAGAGUCACAAAAUCAUGCAUCAAAACACACUCUUUUUUUAAUAAAAU